UAAAAGUAAAACUACUUACUAACAAUUGUACAGGCAUUUAAAUAAUUGCUGUACUAUUUUCUUUCCUCAACAGUACAAAUCAAAGUGGAGGAAAAAGAAGACGAGACAGAGGAAAGCUCAAGUGAAGAGGAAGAGGAGGAGGAAGGUAAACUGCCUCGAAGAGAGAGCUUGAGACCAAAGAGGAAAAGAACCAGAGAUGUUAUCAAUGAGGAUGACCCAGAACCUGAACCAGAGGAUGAAGCAACAAGGAAGGCAAGAGAAAAAGAGAGGAGGAGGAGGCUAAAGAGAGGAGCGUAAGUUAGUUCUGAUAUCCUUUCAAAAGCUCCAGUGCUGAAGAAGAUCACUCCUUUUAGAUACUCUUUGA
rnacentral:lncRNA from 1 species